rnacentral:rRNA from 1 species
AUUGAACGCUGGCGGCAGGCUUAACACAUGCAGGUCGAGCGGGGGAAGGUAGCUUGCUACCGGACCUAGCGGCGGACGGGUGAGUAAUGCUUAGGAAUCUGCCUAUUAGUGGGGGACAACAUCUCGAAAGGGAUGCUAAUACCGCAUACGUCCUACGGGAGAAAGCAGGGGAUCUUCGGACCUUGCGCUAAUAGAUGAGCCUAAGUCGGAUUAGCUAGUUGGCGGGGUAAAGGCCUACCAAGGCGACGAUCUGUAGCGGGUCGGAGAGGAUGCUGCGCAACAGUGGGACUGAGACACGGCCCAGACUCCUACGGGAGGCAGCAGUGGGGAAUAUUGGACAAGGGGGGGAACCCUGAUCCAGCCAUGCCGCGUGUGUGAAGAAGGCCUUAUGGUUGUAAAGCACUUUAAGCGAGGAGGAGGCUACUCUAGUUAAUACCUAGGGAUAGUGGACGUUACUCGCAGAAUAAGCACCGGCUAACUCUGUGCCAGCCGCCGCGGUAACAC